rnacentral:rRNA from 1 species
GGCUAACGCUGGCGGCGUGUCUUAGCCAUGCAAGUCGAGCGGACUUAUGGGGUAACUUAUAAGUCAGCGGUGGACGGCGGAGUAACACGUAGCUAACCUACCCUCUGGACGGGGAUAACCUACCGAAAGGUGGGCUAAUACCCGAUGUAGUCAUCCUGUAUAGGGGUGAUGAAAGGUGGGCUUCUGUUUACAAGCUCAUGCUGGAGGAGGGGGCUGCGGCCUAUCAGGUAGUUGGUAGGGUAAUAGCCUACCAAGCCGAUGACGGGUAGCCGGCCUGAGAGGGUGACCGGCCCGAGGGGCACUGAGAUACGGGUCCCACUCCUACGGGAGGCAGCAGGCUAGAAAUUUGGGCAAUGGGGGAAACCCUGACCCAGUGACGCCGCGUGCAGGAAGGAGCCCUUCGGGGUGUAAACUGCUGUCGUGUAGGGAGAAGGGUACUAAGGUGAACAAUCUUAGUACUUGACGGUACUACAGGAGGAAGCCCAGGCUAACCUCGUG